GCCUCGUUAGCGUAGUUGGAUUAUCGCAUCCGUCUAAUACACGGUGCCUCAGGCUAACCUGGGAUUACAACGGAAGGUCACUGGUUCGAGCCCAGUACGGGGCA
rnacentral:tRNA from 1 species